UACGUAGGGUGCAAGCGUUGUCCGGAAUUAUUGGGCGUAAAGAGCUCGUAGGCGGUUUGUCACGUCGGCUGUGAAACCCUGGGGCUCAACCCCGGGCCUGCAGUGGGUACGGGCAGACUAGAGUGCGGUAGGGGAGACUGGAAUUCCUGGUGUAGCGGUGAAAUGCGCAGAUAUCAGGAGGAACACCGGUGGCGAAGGCGGGUCUCUGGGCCGAUAUUGACGCUGAGGAGCGAAAGCGUGGGGAGCGAACAGG
rnacentral:rRNA from 1 species